rnacentral:rRNA from 1 species
CCUACGGGGGGCAGCAGUGGGGAAUAUUGGACAAUGGGGGGAACCCUGAUCCAGCCAUGCCGCGUGUGUGAAGAAGGCCCUCGGGUUGUAAAGCACUUUCAGUGAGGAAGAACGCCUGGUGGUUAAUACCCAUCAGGAAAGACAUCACUCACAGAAGAAGCACCGGCUAACUCCGUGCCAGCAGCCGCGGUAAUACGGAGGGUGCGAGCGUUAAUCGGAAUUACUGGGCGUAAAGCGCGCGUAGGUGGCUUGAUAAGCCGGUUGUGAAAGCCCCGGGCUCAACCUGGGAACGGCAUCCGGAACUGUCAAGCUAGAGUGCAGGAGAGGAAGGUAGAAUUCCCGGUGUAGCGGUGAAAUGCGUAGCGAUCGGGAGGAAUACCAGUGGCGAAGGCGGCCUUCUGGACUGACACUGACACUGAGGUGCGAAAGCGUGGGUAGCAAACAGGAUUAGAUACCCCAGUAGUC